rnacentral:rRNA from 1 species
GAUGAACGCUGGCGGCGUGCCUAAUACAUGCAAGUCGAGCGAACAGACGAGGAGCUUGCUCCUCUGACGUUAGCGGCGGACGGGUGAGUAACACGUGGAUAACCUACCUAUAAGACUGGGAUAACUUCGGGAAACCGGAGCUAAUACCGGAUAAUAUAUUGAACCGCAUGGUUCAAUAGUGAAAGACGGUUUUGCUGUCACUUAUAGAUGGAUCCGCGCCGCAUUAGCUAGUUGGUAAGGUAACGGCUUACCAAGGAGACGAUGCGUAGCCGACCUGAGAGGGGGAUCGGCCACACUGGAACUGAGACACGGUCCAGACUCCUACGGGAGGCAGCAGUAGGGAAUCUUCCGCAAUGGGCGGAAGCCUGACGGAGCAACGCCGCGUGGGUGAUGAAGGUCUUCGGAUCGUAAACCUCUGUUAUUAGUGAAGAACAAAUGUGUAAGUAACUAUGCACGUCUUGACGGUACCUAAUCAGAAAGCCACGGCUAACUACGUG